rnacentral:lncRNA from 1 species
UUUUCGACCAACUUUCGUGCACUGGAGCAUGUGCUUGUAGUUCAAAUUUGAAUUAUGCACAUUAAAUGACCAUAAACUCAAUUAAUGUAUUAAAAAAAGGCCAAACGAACCCGGAAUAAUUCCAAAAUUUAACACGACACUCAUAUAGUUCUAUGUUUCCUCUAUAAAGAAAAUCAAGGGGGGCAGCGUAUAUCGUUUCGCACACAAAGGUUCCCUCUUAGAACCACGAGCCUUCUUGAGAGAAGCUCCGGAUUGCAAGAAGCUUAUACCAAAACUUGUUCCAAUUCGGCCAAAAAAAUUACCACAGCAUGUUAGUGCCAUGACAUGACACCAUGCCAAGUUUCAUGAUUUCCAGGCAAGUUUUGGAUUUACAGGAAUUUAAAAACCAAGUUUCUCAAUGUUCUCGACCGAGUCACGACGCCCAGAUGUUUGAAUUUCAUUCCCAUUUCUUGCAUGGGACCUAGAAAUUGACCCAAGGACACACAUGUGAUUUUUCAACCAACUUUGGUGCACUGGAGCAUGUGCUUGUAGUUCAAAUUUGAAUUAUGCACAUUAAAUGUCCAGAAACUCAAUUAAUGUAUAAAAAGGCCAAACGAACCCGGAAUAACUCCAAAAUUUAACAGGGCACUCAUAUCGUUCUAUGUUGCCUUUGUAAAGAAAAUCAGGGGGAGGCAACGUAUAUCGUUUCGCACACAAAGGUGACAUGUUCCCUCUCGGAACCACG